CGAAGUGGCGGAAUGGUAGACGCGUCAGACUUAAAAUCUGGUUAGGUAACACUAGUGUGGGUUCGAGUCCCACCUUCGGC
rnacentral:tRNA from 1 species